rnacentral:lncRNA from 1 species
GAACCGUGUUCGGUUUUUGAAGCCGCUUCUUUUCAUCCAUUUACUUCGGCAAUUAUGUGGAGUGACUGAAAGAUCUCUUGUAUUUUUGAACUAAUUGCUUUCCAAGCCCCAUUAUGAAGAAGGGGAAAGUGAAAAACUUUAAAACAGCUGUUUCAUGCAUUGUUUCCCAAAAUUCCACGAAUGAGCCGUCUCCAACGUCCUCUCAGCUGAGUCCUUUGUCCAAUGAUGUAACUCCUUCAAUCUCUACCUCUCAGAAUAACAACAUCACCCAUGCCCCUGCUACCAACUUAACAGGUGAUCAAAAUAACAAUAAUAACCUUAUCAAACCCAACCUCUCUUUUGCUCAUGCUGUUGCCGAUGCAGCCCCCUCAAUUACUAAAGAACACGCUGUAAUAAUUCCAGCCCAUGAUUCCAUCCCUCUUUUGGAGUACCUUCAACAAAUUAGUAAAUUCGUCUCUCCUAGUGAGAUCUUGUAUGCAUCUCGGAUUUCCUUCAAUAGAAUUUGUAUCUAUUUCAAGUCAAGAAAAUCCGUAGAUGAAACUGCUCAAAAGAUCAUACACACGAAAGAAGGCCCAUUGGUUAUCCGAAGAAUGAUUAAUCCUGAUGUCAGAUUAAUAUUUUCUAAUGUCAUUCCUACAUUACCUAAUCAAAAACUCAUCAACGCUGUCUCUGAAUUUGUUACACCAACCUCUCAGAUGCAGAGCGUUUCGACAGGUCUUAAAGAUCCUAUGUUUGCUCAUGUUCUGUCUUUUCGUAGACAAAUUUAUGUCAAAAGGGAGGCAAAAAAUAUCCAGCUUCCCCCCUCAGUAAUCAUUAACCAUAAUGGCGAAGAAAUAAAGGUAUUCCUAACUUUUGGAGAUACAAAACCAAUAAACACGACUGAAAAACAAACAUCGCGAACUGGCGCAAACAUCAAUACAAGAAUUGCUAAUAUUCAAUCUGAAAACAGUCAAAACACGGGAAUUGGAGAUUUCAUCUAAAAAUCCUUCUCAUAGUAGUACUUCUCAAACCAUCCCGCCUCAGCAAAAAUCUCCUCAAACUCAUCCAGUUGAUGAACCCCAAUCUGAUGCUCCUCAAUCAGAGGUUUCCUCCUCAAACGUCUCGCAUUCCAAUAAUACUGAUCUCCCCUCCACGGGUGUUCUCCACAAAGAUUUACAACACAAUGCUUCUCACAUUGUUCAGAACCCCAGAG